AAUGCCUAGGGAUGUCACAGCACUCACAACAGUACAGCACUGGAGAUAUAGUUAAUAUUUUUGUUGGACAAUGAUCUCAGAAGCAAUUCUAGCAGGCACUAUUGUGUAGCGGGCCAACAGUUUACAAGUUUAUAAAACUAGGAUCUUGCAAGUGCACUAUCAAAGUAGAAGCAGUUUGUCAUGACAAGAAUCUUCUCCAUUGAGGGAAAGAAAUGUUGAUGCCAUACAGGAAUGAGCUUGAUUAUCAAUCCUCACUUGUUGAGGGGCACACUGAUCAAAACAGAACAAACACAGACUGGAUAUUGAUAAUGGGCUUAGAUCUGCUUUAACACAACGAACCCCUCACAGAAAAAUGCUAGCUAAAUAUGCUUUUUGAAAUAUUAA
rnacentral:misc_RNA from 1 species